GACGAACGCUGGCGGCGUGCUUAACACAUGCAAGUCGAACGAAGUGGCGAACGGGUGAGUAAUACGUGGGUAACCUGCCCUCCUUUUUGGGAUAAGCCUUGGAAACGGGGUCUAAUACCGAAUAAAGGGGGAUGGGCUCGCGGCCUCUCAGCUUGUUGGUGGGGUGAUGGCCUACCAAGGCGGUGACGGGUAGCCGGCCUGACGGGGUGACCGGCCACAUUGGGACUGCGAUACGGCCCAGAUGCCUACGGGAGGCAGCAGUUGGGGAUAUGGCGCAAGGGGCGAGAGCCUGAUGCAGCGACGCCGCGGGGGGGAUGAAGUCUUUCGAGUUGGAAAUCUCUGUCGCUAUCGAACGGGUAGCUGGAGAAGAAGCGCCGGCUAACUACGUGCCAGCAGCCGCGGUAAUUC
rnacentral:rRNA from 1 species